GGGUCAGUAGGUUGGUCGUGCCACCGGUACGUACUGGUCUCACUGAUUCCUCCUUCCUGAAGAACCGUAAUGCCAUUAAUGUGGUGUUGCGGGGAAACAGGACUGUUACUUUGAAAAAAUUAGAGUGUUUAAAGCAAGCUAACGCUUGAAUACAUUAGCAUGGAAUAAUGAAAUAGGACGAUCGAUCCUAUUUUGUUGGCUUCUAGGAUUGACGUA
rnacentral:rRNA from 1 species